rnacentral:rRNA from 1 species
GAUCAUGGCUCAGGAUGAACGCUGGCGGCGUGCCUAACACAUGCAAGUCGAGCGAAGCACUUUGCUUAGAUUCUUCGGAUGAAGAGGAUUGUGACUGAGCGGCGGACGGGUGAGUAACGCGUGGGUAACCUGCCUCAUACAGGGGGGAUAACAGUUAGAAAUGACUGCUAAUACCGCAUAAGACCACAGCACCGCAUGGUGCGGGUAACGUAAACCGUCGGUGU